rnacentral:rRNA from 1 species
UACAGAGGUCCCGAGCGUUGUUCGGAUUCACUGGGCGUAAAGGGUGCGUAGGUGGCCUAAAAAGUUUGAUGUGAAAGCUCAGGGCUUAACCCUGAAAUGGCAUUGAAUACUGUUGGGCUGGAGGUUUGGAGGGGGGACUGGAAUUCUUGGUGUAGCGGUGAAAUGCGCAGAUAUCAGGAAGAACACCCGUGGCGAAGGCGGCUCUCUGGGACGGUACUGACGCUGAGACGCGAAAGCGUGGGGAGCGAACAGG